rnacentral:lncRNA from 13 species
AAAAUAAUCUAUGGCCUCUGUAUUUGCUAGGAGAAGAAUGAAGACAUUGUUGAACUUUGGCAAGGUCUUCAAGGUUAGUAUAGCGUCCUGAUUCUGUGAGCCAGCUAUCAUCAGGAGCAUCAGGAAAGGUUUCCGUGAAGUAACAUUCAAAUUGCAAUCAGAAGGAAGUUUGCUAACUGAGAAAUAGAAGCACAGGAGUGCAUUCCAGGCUCGUAGCCGAUGAAAUGAGUGAAUAUAGAAAUCACACUAUGAAGAUGGUGGAGCCCAAGAUUGAAGGAUUCUGGGUCUCUAAAUCGUCACUUACAGAAAAAUUACUCUGAGAUCAAGAACAACUGCUUCGGAAUUUAUUAUGAUCUACAGCCAGCUGGACCAUAUCUGGAUGUAGCUGGAGAUAUAACCACAGGUUCAGAAUGCCCUUGGGUAAAGGUAACAUUAUUAGGGGGUCUCAUGUCAUGGUCUUUCGGAUCUUGGUCUAUAUCCUAG